AGGCUUAAUUUUCGCGACCUAUGCUGCAUGAGUCUCUCAUUGUUCUUCAAUAAAUAGAGGUCGCACAAUCAUUCUCCCUUGCCUUGUUGAAAUCCUCGAUGAGAGAUAGUCUCCUAGUUAAUUGCAUUUCCAAUUUACCAUACCUCUUUGUGGUUCCCGGCGUUUUGCUUUUCCCCUUAGUCUUCCUCUUGGCUGCUUUGUUACCAUAUGGACAAAUAGGAGACCAACUCAUUUCUUUUCUUUUGCCCCCCUAGAUUCUCCCAAAUCCCCCAUCACAUAUUAAAAUAUUCCCCCUGCCAACUCAUUUCUUUUCUUUUCUUUUUCCUUCCUUAGGCUUUCGGUUUCAGUUUCUUUUGCAGGUAGCACCGUAGUAGGUUGAAGAUGGCCAUGCUUUGCAGUCCUACAAACGCAACGUCAACUCAUCUACCUUCUCCUCUCUGCUCCCGAUCUUUGCUUCUUUCAGAUCCUCACGCCAACACACGCAAUCAGAGGUCCAUGCCUUGCAAACUGCUCUCCCUCUCUCUCGAUAUCUCCUGCACCCUCUACAAUAACCUCUCACUGAGUACUUUUUUUGUGUUUUUUGUGGAGGUAAGGCUUCAUGUUUGGAAGAGAAUCAGCUCGCAAGUCGCAAGGAGCUUGGAGACUUGAUCGAAGACCUUCGCCAAUCGCCGGAGGUACUGACCUUACCAUCGAUUGAGAUAUUCAAGUAUGCACUUAUGAGGACCUCGUCUUGCUUCCAGCUCCGGUGUUGGUUCAAUCUCUGACCAUGUCUCCCACGAUCUCUCCCACCAUCUUCGAUGUCACCGUUGACGUUAGUAUCCUCGUCUUGGUCUCACACUUGAGAAAUUGGUGAACUCAUAGGUGUUUGGGGAGAUUGCUCGCAUGACCACUCAAGAUUGGUGGAUUCCUAUCCCAAACCACCAAAUUGUGCUUAAAAUGGCCUUCAGGAUGUGCCGGCAUUUUCGAUGGGGGCUUUAAAUUGAAAAGUUUGUGGAUUUUUGGUGGAUGGAUAAUAAAGAACUUGACAAUAAGAAUGAUGUAAGCUUGGGUGAUUUGGAUUUUGGGAUAAUAUGGAUGUGGAAGGAAAUUAAAUUUUUUUUUUGGAAAUGUGGAUUUUGAGAGUCUGAAGACCAGGAAUUUGGAUUUUGAGGAGUAAUUUUGAAGCCAUUUGAGAUAUCAUUAAUAUUCAUUUUACGUGGAUC